UACGUAGGGUGCAAGCGUUAAUCGGAAUUACUGGGCGUAAAGCGUGCGCAGGCGGCUCUGCAAGUCAGAUGUGAAAUCCCCGGGCUCAACCUGGGAACUGCAUUUGUGACUGCAGGGCUAGAGUACGGUAGAGGGGGAUGGAAUUCCGCGUGUAGCAGUGAAAUGCGUAGAUAUGCGGAGGAACACCGAUGGCGAAGGCAAUCCCCUGGACCUGUACUGACGCUCAUGCACGAAAGCGUGGGGAGCAAACAGG
rnacentral:rRNA from 1 species